GAGUUUGAUCGUGGCUCAGAUUGAACGCUGGCGGCAUGCCUUACACAUGCAAGUCGAACGGCAGCACGGGAGCUUGCUCCUGGUGGCGAGUGGCGAACGGGUGAGUAAUGCAUCGGAACGUAUCCUGGAGUGGGGAUAACGUAGCGAAAGUUACGCUAAUACCGCAUAUUCUGUGAGCAGGAAAGCGGGGGACCUUCGGGCCUCGCGCUCUUGGAGCGGCCGAUGUCGGAUUAGCUAGUUGGUGAGGUAAAGGCUCACCAAGGCGACGAUCCGUAGCAGGUCUGAGAGGAUGAUCUGCCACACCUGGAACUGAGACACGGUCCAGACUCCUACGGGAGCAGCAGUGGGAUUUGGACAAUGGGGCAACCCUGAGUCCAGCCGAUG
rnacentral:rRNA from 1 species